GCCAACAGACAAUCAAGGACUUUUCAGG
rnacentral:piRNA from 1 species